rnacentral:lncRNA from 1 species
GGGAAGGGAGGUGGUGGCGACUGACGGAACUGGGUGAAGGCAGCAGUCUGUCAACAACUAUGGCAUCCAGCUGGUCAGAAAGACUAGAGGAUUUGACAUUUUGCGGCUGUUCUCUAGAACCAAAGAAAUGAGAACCUCUUGGUAAAAUCCGCUGGUCCAGGAGUUAUUAUCUCCUGGAUUAUCUGCCAAAGAAAUUAUCUGCCAAAAUUACAAUGUAAAACUGAAGAAGACAACCGAUAACUCAGUUAAAAUUUUGGAAAAAUACAAAGAAACUGUGACUGGGGAGAAAUGGAUUCUUUCUUUGAUUUUAUAAGCUGACAUGAUUGCUUGUUCUGUUGUGAAUGCACGCUGCUCUGGGCCUCAGUUAACCCAUCACACCUGAGCUCCACGCUGUCCACGGGUGCUUUUUCUGCAGUGUUAACGUCAUCUUCAUGGUCGGUAUCAUCACGAUCACCUUGAUUCAGAACCAUUCUGGCUAUUUCCCCAACAGUCAAUGAAAUGAACAACCGGAGCCUCAUUAUCAAUGUUAAAAAUGACAUUAAUGUGUACUUCUUCCCGCUGACUGAUGAACUCUGAAGGUAUAUUUUUUGGAGGUCAGACAUCCUUUUCUUCUCACUUGACAAGCUGAAUUCUUCUAAACCACCACCUGGUUCAUCAUCAUCACUGAACACAGUCGUAGGCCAGAGGUCACGCCAGGCACGCACAUCUGUGUCUUUAGUCACUGUGUUGCAAGCGUUGGCAACAGCAUGUAUGGCAUCCUUCAUGCUCAGCUCCUGAAAAUCUUCUACACCUACACCUCCGUUCACUGCUGCGAGCGUGCAAUUCAAGACAGUGUUUUUAUAUUUACUUUUCAUUGAUCUAAAGAUACC